CCUACGGGAGGCAGCAGUGGGGAAUAUUGCACAAUGGGGGAAAGCCUGACGCAGCGACGCCGCGUGAGUGAUGAAGUAAUUCGUUAUGUAAAGCUCUAUCAGCAGGGAAGAAAAGGACGGUACCUGAGCAAGAAGCACCGGCUAAUUACGUCCCAGCAGCCGCGGUAAUACGGAGGGGGCGAGCGUGAUCCGGAUUUACUGGGUGUAAAGGGAGCGUAGACGGCAGUGCAAGUCUGGAGUGAAAGGCGGGGGCUCAACCCCCGGACUGCUCUGGAAACUGUACGGCUGGAGUGCAGGAGAGGUAAGUGGAAUUCCUGGUGUAGCGGUGAAAUGCGUAGAUAUUAGGAGGAACAUCAGUGGCGAAGGCGGCUUACUGGACUGUAACUGACGUUGAGGCUCGAAAGCGUGGGGAGCAAACAGGAUUAGAUACCCCAGUAGUC
rnacentral:rRNA from 1 species